rnacentral:rRNA from 1 species
UACGUAGGGUGCGAGCGUUAAUCGGAAUUACUGGGCGUAAAGCGUGCGCAGGCGGUUUUGUAAGCCAGAUGUGAAAUCCCCGGGCUCAACCUGGGAAUGGCAUUUGGGACUGCAAGGCUGGAGUACGGCAGAGGAGACUGGAAUUCCUGGUGUAGCAGUGAAAUGCGUAGAUAUCAGGAGGAACACCGGUGGCGAAGGCGGCAUCCUGGACCAAUUCUGACGCUGAGGAGCGAAAGCCAGGGGAGCAAACGGG